CAGCCCUGGGCUCUUAACAUCUGCAACAUGGUGAAAUGAUGACGCAACUCAUUAUCACCCCAUUCAAAGUCCACCAGAGAGAAAGGGACAGAGGAUGAAUGGGGCAGUUGUCCAUUAGCCGUUCAAAAACAUACUCAGAUACAUACUUGAUGUUAGAACAUCCUGUUUACUAAAGUUUGGCAGUCUUCCAGUCUGACUUCCUGCUGAGGUUAGCAUCGAUCAUUCCUAUUAACCAGGGAGGAAGGGGUGGCCAGAAAAGAAGUCUGCUGGCUUCAUGUCACCACAGAACCAAGGGAGAAUAUGAUGCUACCUGGACUGAAAGGACCUUGAAACAGUGGUACUUGCACUGGGCAAACCUUUAUCUGAAAAAACAAACAAACAAAAAAACAAAACAAAACACAAGCAUGGCACGGGAACCUCAGUCACCCGGCGAUGGAGGAGUUUUGUGAUUGUGCACUUCUCUUCUUAUUCCCAGGAAUAAGGGACCAGUCUAUGAUCUGGUAGUU